GAUUUACUGAAGGCGGUUAUUCUCAUCUCUAUUUUGAGGAAAUGUCAGCCAUACAAAGGUUCCCCUCAUGUUCCGGAGUUCGCGAAAAAUGAUCCGUUUUUGGAGCCGCCGCUGGAUCCAAAAUUAAAGGGUUGGCUUCCAUUUGUAAAGAGCGAUGACCAUGCAUACGAUGAUUACUAUAAUAACGGCUACAAUAAACCAAGAAAGCCACCACCACCACCGGAACCGGAAGGGGCCGAUAAUAUCCGUGAUUUAUAUUCCACAUUAAAUGAAUUGGAUAAG